rnacentral:rRNA from 1 species
UACAGAGGUGGCAAGCGUUGUUCGGAUUUACUGGGCGUAAAGGGCGCGUAGGCGGCCACCGCAAGUCAACUGUGAAAUCUCCGGGCUUAACUCGGAAAGGUCAGCCGAUACUGCGGGGCUAGAGUGCAGAAGGGGCAACUGGAAUUCUCGGUGUAGCGGUGAAAUGCGUAGAUAUCGAGAGGAACACCUGCGGCGAAGGCGGGUUGCUGGGCUGACACUGACGCUGAGGCGCGAAAGCUAGGGGAGCGAACGGGA